AACGAACGCUGGCGGCAGGCUUAACACAUGCAAGUCGGACGCCCCGCAAGGGGAGUGGCAGACGGGUGAGUAACGCGUGGGAAUCUACCUAGUUCUACGGAACAACACAGGGAAACUUGUGCUAAUACCGUAUACGCCCUACGGGGGAAAGAUUUAUCGGAAUUAGAUGAGCCCGCGUAAGAUUAGCUAGUUGGUGGGGUAAUGGCCUACCAAGGCGACGAUCUUUAGCUGGUCUGAGAGGAGGAUCAGCCACACUGGGACUGAGACACGGCCCAGACUCCUACGGGAGGCAGCAGUGGGGAAUAUUGGACAAUGGGCGAAAGCCUGACGGAGCAAUCUCGCGUGAGUGAUGAAGGCCUUAGGGUUGUAAAGCUCUUUCAGUGGGGAAGAUAAUGACGGUACCCACAGAAGAAGCCCCGGCUAACUUCGUGCCAGCCGCCGCCGUAACAC
rnacentral:rRNA from 1 species